AAAAAAAAAACAAGACCAGACCAUCGAUGGAUCUCAUCUCCAGUUUCUUCCUCCCCGAAUCGCGCCGCCAGCCAUUCUCUACAAGAACAUCCCAAUCCCGCCGCCGCCAUUCUCUACAAGAACAUCCACCUCGCAAGUUCUCCCCUACCGUCACCCAUAGAUGAGCUGUUGGAGCCAGAUGCCUCUCCCAAUCGUGCCGCCAGCCCUGGUCCUCGCAAUCGCACCACCACGAUGCCGUACAAGCACAUCCGCCCCAUACCAAGCCAGUGAGAUCUGGAAGUCAGGGAAGACGGUGAGCAAAUCCUCGGCGGUAAUCGUUGGCCUCCAUUGUUUCUUGAUUCAAAUGAAUCGUUGGCCUCCAUUGUUUCUCAGCACCCAAGAUAUAUAUUUAAGAAGAGAUCAAGGAGGAGAGACGACUUUCUAUUUUUCUAUGUCCUCACACGCACAGCAGUCAUACUGCCGAAGGGGUGGACAAAGUUGGUUUGACUUUGGUAUCUAUGUACCCGAUAGCUGGGCAUCAAGAAUCUGGAGAAUCCAUCAUCUACCUUAGCCACUGUUGUCUAAAUAGCGCCAACAUAGAGCUGCUUUGAUGAUACUGCCCGUACUGAUCGAUAACCCAGCGCCUAGGGGAGCCGGAGCACGCCAAGCGUCAAUUGGCAGACACGGCCGCAGAUGGAAGGGAGGAAGGGGAGAGGGCGAGGCCAUUGCCGCUCGAUGAAUCGUUGGUGGAGAAUUAGCCGGGCCACAGCCAUAGCCAUGACAAUUUCAAGCACUCUGAUACUUCAUCAGCUAGGUGGAGUAGAGACCUGAUCCUGCAAUCCGGGGAUGAGCAAGAGUUGCAUAUGGAUAAAAUGGAUGGAAAGAACCAGAGUGACCACAAGGUGAGAAAGAUAUCUUGCCGUGUACGGGUGUAUAUUUUGAAAUCGUUGUGAUGUCAGUUUGAAAAACACGGGCAAUUAUUGAGUUGACCAAAUAGUUGAUUUGUUCUUAUUAGUGAAAAUUCAUCGAAGGUGUUGCGACCUACUUCAUUUGCGGAGUUGUUGGAAGUUAGAACUAUCCAUUCUACAUGGUUAGAAUUUCAUUGCCAAUAUUUUUGAUGCAGUUGACAUCAAAAUCUCUGGCUGAGGCUGUGUGGUUAUAACCCCAUUUCCAAUCAUUUGGUACUGUUGGAAAUUAGAACUCCCUCUUAAACAAAUUUCCUCCAUACCACUACAGACCAAUUUAUUUUCUAGGAACUUAGAAAGGCUGACAAUUAUGUUUACUGGGAUUUCCAUUAGUGGAUCAGAGUGUGUGAUCUCAUGGUUAUAAUAAUAGUGUCCACAGACCGAUCAGUGCCACAAGGUGAGUUGGAAAGUUAGUACUAUAAACAAUGUGUUGGUCUACAAGCAUAAACAGUGUGUUGGUCUACAAGCAGUAGAGAAAAGCGCCACCUGGUAUUAUGCCUAGAUCUCCAAUUGGCUUUGAUUGGAUGGAUUUAUGUAAUUUUGGGCUAUUGGUAAUUAAGAUUGGCUACGUUUCUUUUCUUCUCUGCAAUAUUUUUAUAGACAUGAUAUCCAAGAAAAGUUGUCACAGGCAAGUAAUAACAAGUGAUAAAAAAACAGCAACUUGGGGUCAUCAAAAGUUCAUUAUCUUAUUUGUAAUAAAAUUAUACCAGUUCAGGGCAGCUAAACUUUGCUGCGGAGUGAAAACGGGUUUUCCAGAGAAAACUUUACCAUUGAUUUACACAAUGUGUCUUUUGUUGUAUUUUGUUGUUUCUAACUCAAUGCCUAAUUACAUUCUAUUGAAAUGUUGAUAACUUGAUGGGUGUAUAUUCAUCAUUACCAGCUUGAUUCUUGACCUUACCUGGAAAUUGAUAUUUAUUUUUAGAUGGCAAUGUAUUUAUUUUUAGAAAAUGAACUUCAUCCAACAUAAAUUGCAUUGGUAUUUAGUUACUUUCCCAUUUUAUUUGCUUCUACUUAAACUGGACUAUCCCUCAAAACUUAGGUCGUAGACAAGAGCCAUAAUAUAUUUACCUUCAUUACUGAGGAGAGUUCUGUCUUUUCUUUUCCAUCGCCAUGAUGAACAAGUAAACCUUCAGAUUUGGAUACCUUCACUUUUUUGUGACUCCAAUGAAAUAUUCAAUUCUACUUAACAGAGUUAUAUUCAUCAUUUUGAUUUUGGUUUAGAUAUCUCAACAUGUUAUUCUUGAUCUACCGGGGCUUGCAUUCUGCAGGGACUAUAGAGUGUUGGAACUUUAUGAGGAUGACAUAUCUUAUCGUGCGCAUGGUCUAGAAUUUAUGGUAUGAGAUAAAGUAUCUAUACUAUGAACGUUGUCAUUUAUAAAAUACAUGUAACUCAAGUAAGUUUGUAUUAUUAUAUGUGCAAACCAGUAGUAUUCCCCCUAUUCAUUUUUAUUUUUAUUUUCAUGGAACUUGACGUACAUCAAGCACGUUAUUCCCUAUUCUCACACUACGUCAAGCCUUUCGGCUUUCCUUUGGUCGCAUCGUCGUCGUGCUUCGUCGUCCACGUGGGCCAGCACAAUUAAAACCUGCGCUUCUCUCGAAGUAUAGGUAGUUGAGAACCACCUGUUAUUUGGGUUUCUUCUCUCUAAGUGCAUCAAACCAGCUUAAUUUCAGAGGCCACACAUCUCGGCGGAGUAAAAUUUCCAGAAGCCAAAUUGUGCAAUAUCAUAGGCGAGUUCAAUAGCAGUCCGUUGCAACACCAUAGAGGAUUUGAAUGGAAACAAAUAUUGGUUAUCCUUUUUUGUACUUUUUCCAUGUGAGAACUGCAUAAUGAUUUUCAGAAUGAGUCGAGUUCUUGCACUGCCACUCUGGUGAGUCCACUCACAACCAACAUGUUUCCGUCUGAUUCCCAUUUGGAAGUGAGUGUUUUCUUGUCUUUGCGAGUCAUUUGUUUAGAAAGCUGAUGGAUCAUCUAGGAUAUACAAAAUUCUGGACAGCCAUCUCGAUAUGACCAUGAGAAACUUGCAGGCAGAAUUUUAAUCAAAUCAAUAUCCAAUGCAUUUUUUUUGGUACAAAAGAGCUAUUUGAUGAACUAUUGUCAGGCUUUUAGCCUGGAAAGAUAGGUUCUCACAAUUUUUAUUGAGAGUAGAUUGAGUGAUAACUGAUGUUAUUUUCAGCUGGACCAUUGUUUAAACUUCAUGCUGCAGUUCAGGUACUACAUUGAAAUAUCAAUUGAUUUAAUCUCUUGUGUUGAAAAAAUAGAGAUACAUUGCUACAUAAUGGUAUCCUACUGCCUACGGGUGGGCGUUUAUAAAGAAAUACUAGAAGGGUUACAAAAUUCCAAUAUGAUGUAAAUUCUGAUCGCUCAAACAUUUGCAAAUAUAUUCCAAUAUGAUGUAAAUUCUACAAAUAUUUGAGAACGUAAUACUUUCAU